UACGAAGGGGGCUAGCGUUGUUCGGAUUUACUGGGCGUAAAGGGCGCGUAGGCGGCAAUUCAAGUCAUCUGUGAAAUCUCCGGGCUUAACUCGGAACGGUCAGAUGAUACUGCUUUGCUAGAGUGCAGAAGGGGCAAUCGGAAUUCUUGGUGUAGCGGUGAAAUGCGUAGAUAUCAAGAGGAACACCUGAGGUGAAGACGGGUUGCUGGGCUGACACUGACGCUGAGGCGCGAAAGCCAGGGGAGCAAACGGG
rnacentral:rRNA from 1 species